GCCCUGUUGGCUAAGUGGUAUAGCGUCUCACUAGUAAUAACAGUGCGAUGAGAAGAUCACUGGUUCGAUUCCAGUACAGGGCA